GCAGAUCUCGCUGAGCGCCGCCAACAUGGUGUUCAGGCGCUUCGUGGAGGUUGGCCGAGUGGCCUACAUCUCUUUUGGGCCCCAUGCUGGAAAGCUGGUCGCAAUUGUAGAUGUUAUUGAUCAAAACAGGGCUUUAGUGGAUGGCCCCUGCACUCGGGUGAGGAGGCAGGCCAUGCCCUUCAAAUGCAUGCAGCUCACUGACUCCAUCCUCAAGUUCCCACACAGCGCGCGCCGGAAGUAUGCACGGAAAGCUUGGGAGAAGGCAGACAUCAAUACAAAGUGGGCCGCCACACGAUGGGCCAAGAAAAUUGAUGCCAGAGAAAGGAAAGCCAAGAUGACAGAUUUUGAUCGGUUCAAAGUCAUGAAGGCAAAGAAAAUGAGGAACAGAAUAAUCAAGACUGAAGUGAAGAAACUCCAGAGAGCUGCUCUCCUGAAAGCUUCUCCUAAAAAAGCUGCUGUUGCUAAGGCUGCCAUUGCGGCUGCAGCAGCUGCUAAAGCCAAGGUCCCAGCCGAUUAGGAAACAGGACCAGGCCAGAGGCUUUUGCACAGAAGGCUGCAGGCCAGAAGGCAGCGCCCCCUGCUAAAGGUCAGAAGGGUCAAAGACCCGGGCCCAGAAGGCACCUGCUCCAAGGGCAGCCGGCAAGAAAGCAUGAGGAGGCUACAAAAAGAAUAAAGGUUCUUUUUGACUAAAAAAAAGAAAGAAAGAAAGAAAAAG
rnacentral:lncRNA from 1 species